ACUCACUUGUGACAACUAAAUAAAGGAGUGACCUAAAAGACUCUGCACUUGAAUGUGUGUGUCUGAUUUUUGUUUGUUUGUUUGUUUGUUUGUUUGUUUUUCAAGCAAUGUCUCCAAGUUACUUGGGUCCAUGCUUCUUCUGGGUAGGAUCACCUGUCAGUGUACCACAGCAGUUUAA
rnacentral:lncRNA from 1 species